AUUGAACGCUGGCGGCAGGCCUAACACAUGCAAGUCGAGCGGAUGACGGGAGCUUGCUCCUUGAUUCAGCGGCGGACGGGUGAGUAAUGCCUAGGAAUCUGCCUGGUAGUGGGGGACAACGUUUCGAAAGGAACGCUAAUACCGCAUACGUCCUACGGGAGAAAGCAGGGGACCUUCGGGCCUUGCGCUAUCAGAUGAGCCUAGGUCGGAUUAGCUUGUUGGUGAGGUAAUGGCUCACCAAGGCGACGAUCCGUAACUGGUCUGAGAGGAUGAUCAGUCACACUGGAACUGAGACACGGUCCAGACUCCUACGGGAGGCAGCAGUGGGGAAUAUUGGACAAUGGGCGAAAGCCUGAUCCAGCCAUGCCGCGUGUGUGAAGAAGGUCUUCGGAUUGUAAAGCACUUUAAGUUGGGAGGAAGGGCUGUAGAUUAAUACUCUGCAAUUUUGACGUUACCGACAGAAUAAGCACCGGCUAACUCUGUG
rnacentral:rRNA from 1 species